GCGACAUCACUUUUUUUGCAGGAAAAGGAUAAACCUUUCACUGGAUUCGCUAUAGCAUUCAAGUUGUGUAAGAAUUUGGAGAUCGAUCAUCCAAAAAUGAAUAAAAUGAAUAUACCAAGCAGACACAAAACAAAAGGGGGAAAAAAGUAAUUAUACCUCCUGCAAUUAUACAACUUGAUCGGCAUCUUUUGUAGAUGAAUAUAAGAGAGAGAGAGAGAGAGAGAGAGAGA